CCUACGGGUGGCAGCAGUGAGGAAUAUUGGUCAAUGGCCGGGAGGCUGAACCAGCCAAGUCGCGUGAGGGAAGACGGCCCUACGGGUUGUAAACCUCUUUUGUCAGGGAGCAAGGUGCAGGUCGGGACCUGCUGUGAGAGUACCUGAAGAAAAAGCAUCGGCUAACUCCGUGCCAGCAGCCGCGGUAAUACGGAGGAUGCGAGCGUUAUCCGGAUUUAUUGGGUUUAAAGGGUGCGCAGGCGGGCUUUUAAGUCAGCGGUAAAAAUUCGGGGCUCAACCCCGUCCGGCCGUUGAAACUGGGGGCCUUGAGUGGGCGAGAAGAAGGCGGAAUGCGUGGUGUAGCGGUGAAAUGCAUAGAUAUCACGCAGAACCCCGAUUGCGAAGGCAGCCUUCCGGCGCCCUACUGACGCUGAGGCACGAAAGUGCGGGGAUCGAACAGGAUUAGAUACCCCGGUAGUC
rnacentral:rRNA from 1 species